rnacentral:rRNA from 1 species
AGUGAACGCUGCGGUAGGCCUAACACAUGCAAGUCGAACGGCAGCACAGUAAGAACUUGCUCUUACGGGUGGCGAGUGGCGGACGGGUGAGGAAUACAUCGGAAUCUACUUUUUCGUGGGGGAUAACGUAGGGAAACUUACGCUAAUACCGCAUACGACCUACGGGUGAAAGCAGGGGAUCUUCGGACCUUGCGCGAUUGAAUGAGCCGAUGUCGGAUUAGCUAGUUGGCGGGGUAAAGGCCCACCAAGGCGACGAUCCGUAGCUGGUCUGAGAGGAUGAUCAGCCACACUGGAACUGAGACACGGUCCAGACUCCUACGGGAGGCAGCAGUGGGGAAUAUUGGACAAUGGGCGCAAGCCUGAUCCAGCCAUACCGCGUGGGUGAAGAAAGCCUUCGGGUUGUAAAGCCCUUUUGUUGGGAAAGAAAUCCAGCCGGCUAAUACCUGGUUGGGAUGACGGUACCCAAAGAAUAAGCACCGGCUAACUUCGUG